rnacentral:rRNA from 1 species
CCUACGGGUGGCAGCAGUGAGGAAUAUUGGUCAAUGGGCGCAAGCCUGACCCAGCAACGCCGCGUGAAGGAAGAAGGCUUUCGGGUUGUAAACUUCUUUUAAGGGGGAAGAGCAGAAGACGGUACCCCUUGAAUAAGCCACGGCUAACUACGUGCCAGCAGCCGCGGUAAUACGUAGGUGGCAAGCGUUGUCCGGAUUUACUGGGUGUGAAGGGCGUGCAGCCGGAGAGACAAGUCAGAUGUGAAAUCCACGGGCUCAACCCGUGAACUGCAUUUGAAACUGUUUCCCUUGAGUGUCGGAGAGGUAAUCGGAAUUCCUGGUGUAGCGGUGAAAUGCGUAGAUAUAAGGAAGAACACCAGUGGCGAAGGCGGAUUACUGGACGAUAACUGACGGUGAGGCACGAAAGCGUGGGGAGCAAACAGGAUUAGAUACCCUUGUAGUC